CUACGUGCCAGCAGCCGCGGUAAUACGUAGGUGGCAAGCGUUAUCCGGAUUUAUUGGGCGUAAAGCGAGCGCAGGCGGUUGCUUAGGUCUGAUGUGAAAGCCUUCGGCUUAACCGAAGAAGUGCAUCGGAAACCGGGCGACUUGAGUGCAGAAGAGGACAGUGGAACUCCAUGUGUAGCGGUGGAAUGCGUAGAUAUAUGGAAGAACACCAGUGGCGAAGGCGGCUGUCUGGUCUGCAACUGACGCUGAGGCUCGAAAGCAUGGGUAGCG
rnacentral:rRNA from 1 species